rnacentral:lncRNA from 1 species
AGACUCCAAGCACUAGCUCCUACUCAAUCACUGCUCGUUACCUGAAAAAUAGUUGUAAGGGUGAGUUCCUCAAUCGAUAUAAUAAGCAUUAUAAAAUAUCAUGCGAUGUUAAGUAAUUUAACACAUUUCAUCACCCUAAUCAUAACACACAUUCAGUAACGGCACAUCAACUCAAACAUCAUACUCAACACCAACAUAA